rnacentral:rRNA from 1 species
CCUACGGGUGGCAGCAGUGGGGAAUAUUGGACAAUGGGGGGAACCCUGAUCCAGCCAUGCCGCGUGUGUGAAGAAGGCCCUCGGGUUGUAAAGCACUUUCAGUGAGGAAGAACGCCUGGUGGUUAAUACCCAUCAGGAAAGACAUCACUCACAGAAGAAGCACCGGCUAACUCCGUGCCAGCAGCCGCGGUAAUACGGAGGGUGCGAGCGUUAAUCGGAAUUACUGGGCGUAAAGCGCGCGUAGGUGGCUUGAUAAGCCGGUUGUGAAAGCCCCGGGCUCAACCUGGGAACGGCAUCCGGAACUGUCAAGCUAGAGUGCAGGAGAGGAAGGUAGAAUUCCCGGUGUAGCGGUGAAAUGCGUAGAGAUCGGGAGGAACACCAGUGGCGAAGGCGGCCUUCUGGACUGACACUGACACUGAGGUGCGAAAGCGUGGGUAGCAAACAGGAUUAGAUACCCUAGUAGUC